rnacentral:rRNA from 1 species
GACAGAGGUGCCAAGCGUUAGGCGGAAUCACUGGGCUUAAAGCGUGUGUAGGCGGACUCGUAAGUACCUUGUGAAAUCCCACGGCUCAACCGUGGAACUGCUUGGCAUACUGGCGGUCUUGAGCAACCUAGGGGCGAGCGGAACAAAUGGUGGAGCGGUGAAAUGCGUAGAUAUCAUUUGGAACGCCAAUGGUGAAAACAGCUCGCUGGGGGUUUGCUGACGCUGAGACACGAAAGCCAGGGGAGCAAACGGG